GCUGUCCUAGAUCAGCGCCACAGACAUAGCCCGGCUGCCCAGUGGUGCCUGUGACAUUAGGGCAAAGAGCAAGUGGCUAUUUCUACGCUCAGCGUUCAGAAGCCAGUGAGCCCUAAGAAUGGUUUGUAGCCUGACAUUU